UGGGGAAUUUUGCACAAUGGGGGAAACCCUGAUGCAGCGACGCCGCGUGAUUUAGAAGGCCUUCGGGUUGUAAAAAUCUUUUCUAUGGGAAGAAAAUGACAGUACCAUAGGAAUAAGGACCGGCUAAUUACGUGCCAGCAGCCGCGGUAAUACGUAAGGUCCGAGCGUUGUCCGGAAUCAUUGGGCGUAAAGGGUACGUAGGCGGGUAAGCAAGUUAGAAGUGAAAUCCUAUAGCUCAACUAUAGUAAGCUUUUAAAACUGCUCAUCUUGAGGUAUGGAAGUGAAAGUGGAAUUCCUAGUGUAGCGGAGAAAUGCGCAGAUAUUAGGAGGAAUACCGGUGGCGAAGGCGACUUUCUGGCCAUAACCUGACGCUGAGGUACGAAAGCGUGGGUAGCAAACAGG
rnacentral:rRNA from 1 species